rnacentral:rRNA from 1 species
UGGGGAAUAUUGCACAAUGGGCGCAAGCCUGAUGCAGCCAUGCCGCGUGUGUGAAGAAGGCCUUCGGGUUGUAAAGCACUUUCAGCGGGGAGGAAGGCGGUGAGGUUAAUAACCUCAUCGAUUGACGUUACCCGCAGAAGAAGCACCGGCUAACUCCGUGCCAGCAGCCGCGGUAAUACGGAGGGUGCAAGCGUUAAUCGGAAUUACUGGGCGUAAAGCGCACGCAGGCGGUCUGUCAAGUCGGAUGUGAAAUCCCCGGGCUCAACCUGGGAACUGCAUUCGAAACUGGCAGGCUAGAGUCUUGUAGAGGGGGGUAGAAUUCCAGGUGUAGCGGUGAAAUGCGUAGAGAUCUAGAGGAAUACCGGUGGCGAAGGCGGCCCCCUGGACGAAGACUGACGCUAAGGUGCGAAAGCGUGGGGAGCAAACAGG